AUACGUAGGGUGCGAGCGUUGUCCGGAAUUACUGGGCGUAAAGCGCUCGUAGGUGGUUUGUCGCGUCGUCUGUGAAAUUCCGGGGCUUGACUCCGGGCGUGCAGGCGAUACGGGCAUAACUUGAGUACUGUAGGGGAGACUGGAAUUCCUGGUGUAGCGGUGAAAUGCGCAGAUCUCAGGAGGAACACCGGUGGCGAAGGCGGGUCUCGGGGCAGUAACUGACGCUGAGGAGCGAAAGCAUGGGUAGCGAACAGGAUUAGAUACCCUGGUAGUCCAUGCCGUAAACGGUGGGCGCUAGGUGUAGGGGUCUUCCACGACUUCUGUGCCGUAGCUAACGCAUUAAGCGCCCCGCCUGGGGAGUACGGCCGCAAGGCUAAAACUCAAAGGAAUUGACGGGG
rnacentral:rRNA from 1 species